GCACUUCUGAUCCGAACUGAGCAGACUCUUCUUCGCUGAAUGAUGACGGAAUCAACGGAGUCCAAAUGGGUCCUGGGGCCACGCCGUUAACGCGUAUUCCUCUUUCAACAAGUUGCAAUGCAAGCCCUCUGGCCUCUGGUGAAUGCCACAAUGGCUCCUUUUGUUGCCGCGUAGUCAAGCAGCUUAGGGUUUCCCUUGUAUGCAACCACUGAUGUUGUGUUGAUUAUGGCGCUCCCUUCAUUCAUAUGCCUCAAUGAAUGCCUGUAAAUCACUAUAAACAUUCGUGACAAAUUUACAAGUUAAGACGACAUAAUUUGCAACCUCUCAAUUUAUUUAUUUUUUUUCUUACCUUGUCAUGAAGAAGUGCGAGAAAAUGUUGGUUCUAAAAACCCUCUCGAGCCUUUCUUCAUCAAUCUCCUCAACCGAGCCCGCCUUGUAUUGCACAGCCGCAUUGUUCACCAAAAUAUCGAUCUUGCCAUACGCAUUCAC
rnacentral:lncRNA from 1 species